rnacentral:rRNA from 1 species
UUAGAGUUUGAUCCUGGCUCAGGACGAACGCUGCGGCGUGCUUAACACAUGCAAGUCGAACGAUGAUGCCAGCUUGCUGGUGGAUUAGUGGCGAACGGGUGAGUAACACGUGAGCAACCUGCCCCUGACUUCGGGAUAACCGCGGGAAACCGUGGCUAAUACCGGAUAUGACGCGCUAUCGCAUGGUGGUGUGUGGAAAGAUUUAUCGGUUGGGGAUGGGCUCGCGGCCUAUCAGCUUGUUGGUGGGGUGAUGGCCUACCAAGGCGACGACGGGUAGCCGGCCUGAGAGGGUGACCGGCCACACUGGGACUGAGACACGGCCCAGACUCCUACGGGAGGCAGCAGUGGGGAAUAUUGCACAAUGGGCGCAAGCCUGAUGCAGCGACGCCGCGUGAGGGAUGACGGCCUUCGGGUUGUAAACCUCUUUCAGUAGGGAAGAAGGCCUUCGGGUUGACGGUACCUGCAGAAGAAGCGCCGGCUAACU